rnacentral:rRNA from 1 species
GAUGAACGCUAGCGGCAGGCCUAAUACAUGCAAGUCGAACGGUGUCUUCGGACAUAGUGGCACACGGGUGCGUAACACGUAUGCAACCUACCUUACAUUGGGGGAUAGCCUUUCGAAGGGGAGAUUAAUACCGCAUAAGACAGUAGCUGGGCAUCCAGCAGCUGUUAAAGAUUUAUCGAUGUAAGCUGGGCAUGCGUCCAAUUAGCUAGUUGGUGAGGUAACGGCUCACCAAGGCAAUGAUUGGUAGGGGAACUGAGAGGUCAAUCCCCCACACUGGCACUGAGAUACGGGCCAGACUCCUACGGGAGGCAGCAGUAGGGAAUAUUGGGCAAUGGACGCAAGUCUGACCCAGCCAUGCCGCGUGCAGGAUGAAGGCGUUAUGGGUUGUAAACUGCUUUUAUACAGGAAGAAACGACUCUUGCGAGAGGCAUUGACGGUACUGUAUGAAUAAGCACCGGCUAACUCCGUGCCAGCCGCCGCAGUAAUAC